rnacentral:tRNA from 2 species
GUCUCUGUGGCUCAGUUGGAAGAGCGUUGGUCUCAUAUCACAGCAAUAUGACUCUGGAGCAUCCAGGGACAUCCAAAGGUCGCAAGUUCGAGCCUUGCCAGGGACA